rnacentral:rRNA from 1 species
AUACAUGCAAGUCGAGCGAACGGACGAGAAGCUUGCUUCUCUGAUGUUAGCGGCGGACGGGUGAGUAACACGUGGAUAACCUACCUAUAAGACUGGGAUAACUUCGGGAAACCGGAGCUAAUACCGGAUAAUAUUUUAAACCGCAUGGUUCAAAAGUGAAAGACGGUCUUGCUGUCACUUAUAGAUGGAUCCGCGCUGCAUUAGCUAGUUGGUAAGGUAACGGCUUACCAAGGCAACGAUGCAUAGCCGACCUGAGAGGGUGAUCGGCCACACUGGAACUGAGACACGGUCCAGACUCCUACGGGAGGCAGCACUAGGGAAUCUUCCGCAAUGGGCGAAAGCCUGACGGAGCAACGCCGCGUGAGUGAUGAAGGUCUUCGGAUCGUCAAACUCUGUUAUUAGGGAAGAACAUAUGUGUAAGUAACUGUGCACAUCUUGACGGUACCUAAUCAGAAAGCCACGGCUAACUACGUGCCAGCAGCCGCGGUAAUACGUAGGUGGCAAGCGUUAUCCGGAAUUAUUGGGCGUAAAGCGCGCGUAGGCGGUUUUUUAAGUCUGAUGUGAAAGCCCACGGCUCAACCGUGGAGGGUCAUUGGAAACUGGAAAACUUGAGUGCAGAAGAGGAAAGUGGAAUUCCAUGUGUAGCGGUGAAAUGCGCAGAGAUAUGGAGGAACACCAGUGGCGAAGGCGACUUUCUGGUCUG